UACGUAGGGGGCAAGCGUUGUCCGGAUUUAUUGGGCGUAAAGAGCGUGUAGGCGGCCAGGUAGGUCCGCUGUGAAAACUCGAGGCUCAACCUCGAGAUGUCGGCGGAAACCAUCUGGCUAGAGUCCGGAAGAGGAGAGUGGAAUUCCUGAUGUAGCGGUGAAAUGCGCAGAUAUCAGGAAGAACACCCGUGGCGAAGGCGGCUCUCUGGGACGGUACUGACGCUGAGACGCGAAAGCGUGGGGAGCGAACAGG
rnacentral:rRNA from 1 species